AUACGGAGGAUGCGAGCGUUAUCCGGAUUUAUUAGGUUUAAAGGGUGUGUAGGCGGUAUUUUAAGUCAGUGGUGAAAUCUCGGAGCUUAACUUCGAAACUGCCAUUGAUACUGGAAUACUUGAGUAUAGUUGAGGUAGGCGGAAUAUGUAAUGUAGCGGUGAAAUGCAUAGAUAUUACAUAGAACACCGAUUGCGAAGGCAGCUUACUAAACUAUUACUGACGCUGAUGCACGAAAGCGUGGGUAGCAAACAGGAUUAGAAACCCCAGUAGUCC
rnacentral:rRNA from 1 species